ACGGCGAGCACAUGUCAGCGAUUUGCUGGAAUCAUCUCGUAAUGACUACGGCGAAAACGAUGAACUGGAGAGCGAUUUGGAUCCCGAUAUGUCGGACGAAUACGUGCCUUCGGACAUAACGGAAAGCAGCUGAGAGUCCUCACCAGAGCCGCUGGAACGAGGAGGUAACUGCUGACUAGCUUGCAAGUUCCCAUUCAAAACUUCAUCAUUUCUUAUGCCUCAUCAGUCACUUUUAUGUACCACUACAUUCUCCGCUAUACUAUAAAGUUGCCAGUAACACUAAUCAUUUAUGUACGGUUGAUGCGUCUUGUAGAUGUGGAUGAAAAUAUGCGCCGUAAAUGUGCUGACUUGCAUGUCGUCAUAGGUUUUAAAAAAACAAAACAAAAAAAAACAUGACACAUUUGGUCCGCUUCGCUCUGCUAAAACCACUAGUGUUAAAUUCAUAUUCCAUUUCAUGUCAAAUUGGAUGCUGAGCAACGUGGAACGAAUGGUGUAAAUAGCAGUGUGCGAGCAUGUGUGUGUGUGUGAGAUGUUGAAAUGUAAGUGGAAAGCAACAAUAAAAAAAUAGAAAAAUAAAAGUGUGGUAAUUGUACAUACUUCUAUAAAUUACAGAUUGUCCAACCAGAAGCCAAAAGAUGACGACUCUUCGCUUUGGUGGUGGAAAGAAAGGUCGUGCAUCUGGACGUGGUGGGAUGAAUCGAUGUGGUGACAAACUGGAUGGAAGCCAAAAACCAUCUUCUCCACAGCUGCACUUUUGUUCAUAGUUCAAUAGUUUUGUUGUGUGCAAAUAAAUUAUUUUGCUAUAAAAACAUUUGUAAUGUUCUUUUGUAGGAGGAACACAUUAUUGAGGUAUUUGAGCUGUCACAAAAGCAAAAAAUAGUGUAAAACUUGAAAUGAUGCUUGAAAUGCAUGCUUUUACAAAAA